GCUUCCUUAGCUCAGUUGGUAGAGCGGUAAGGACGAUCUUUCUUCUUCAAGCUAGCGGUUGACUAACCCAUUAUAGCUUGACUAGUACAGUCUAUGAUUGUUAUCAAGAAGUCACUCGUUCAAAUCGGGUAGGAAGCA